rnacentral:rRNA from 1 species
CAAGACCUGCGCUUUUGGAGCGGCCGAUGCCUGAUUAGCUUGUUGGUAAGGUAAAAGCUUACCAAGGCUUCGAUCAGUAGCUGGUCUGAGAGGACGACCAGCCACACUGGGACUGAGACACGGCCCAGACUCCUACGGGAGGCAGCAGUGGGGAAUUUUGGACAAUGGGGGCAACCCUGAUCCAGCCAUGCCGCGUGAGUGAAGAAGGCCUUCGGGUUGUAAAGCUCUUUCAGCCGGAACGAAACGGUUACGGUUAAUAUCCGUGACUACUGACGGUACCGGAAGAAGAAGCACCGGCUAACUACGUGCCAGCAGCCGCGGUAAUACGUAGGGUGCGAGCGUUAAUCGGAAUUACUGGGCGUAAAGCGUGCGCAGGUGGUUUUGUAAGUCAGAUGUGAAAGCCCCGGGCUCAACCUGGGAACU